rnacentral:rRNA from 1 species
CGGAACACGUACAGAACCUUCCUUUAAGCGGGGAUAGCCCGGAGAAAUCCGGAUUAAUAUCCCAUAGUAUAUCGAAAAGGCAUCUUUUUGAUAUUAAAGAUUUAUCACUUAGAGAUGGCUGUGCGGCUGAUUAGGUAGUUGGUUGAGGUAAUGGCUCACCAAGCCAGCGAUCAGUAACUGGUGUGAGAGCACGACCAGUCACACGGGCACUGAGACACGGGCCCG